UAAGUUCCGACCUGCACGAAUGGCGUAAUGAUGGCCAGGCUGUCUCCACCCGAGACUCAGUGAAAUUGAACUCGCUGUGAAGAUGCAGUGUACCCGCGGCAAGACGGAAAGACCCCGUGAACCUUUACUAUAGCUUGACACUGAACAUUGAGCCUUGAUGUGUAGGAUAGGUGGGAGGCUUAGAAGUGUGGACGCCAGUCUGCAUGGAGCCGACCUUGAAAUACCACCCUUUAAUGUUUGAUGUUCUAACGUUGACCCGUAAUCCGGGUUGCGGACAGUGUCUGGUGGGUAGUUUGACUGGGGCGGUCUCCUCCUAAAGAGUAACGGAGGAGCACGAAGGUUGGCUAAUCCUGGUCGGACAUCAGGAGGUUAGUGCAAUGGCAUAAGCCAGCUUGACUGCGAGCGUGACGGCGCGAGCAGGUGCGAAAGCAGGUCAUAGUGAUCCGGUGGUUCUGAAUGGAAGGGCCAUCGCUCAACGGAUAAAAGGUACUCCGGGGAUAACAGGCUGAUACCGCCCAAGAGUUCAUAUCGACGGCGGUGUUUGGCACCUCGAUGUCGGCUCAUCACAUCCUGGGGCUGAAGUAGGUCCCAAGGGUAUGGCUGUUCGCCAUUUAAAGUGGUACGCGAGCUGGGUUUAGAACGUCGUGAGACAGUUCGGUCCCUAUCUGCCGUGGGCGCUGGAGAACUGAGGGGGGCUGCUCCUAGUACGAGAGGACCGGAGUGGACGCAUCACUGGUGUUCGGGUUGUCAUGCCAAUGGCACUGCCCGGUAGCUAAAUGCGGAAGAGAUAAGUGCUGAAAGCAUCUAAGCACGAAACUUGCC
rnacentral:rRNA from 1 species